GAGGGCGACAGGGGGGAGGGGACGGGAGAGGCCGCCACCGGGCCAACUACCAGGUGGGGGAGGGGAUUUCUCGGGUGCGGAGUGACGGGGAGGUGCUGAUUGGGCUCCAGGGCGCGAUCUUUGAGCGCAGAUUUGGUGCGUGCGAUCUCCCAUGGAUUCGAUUUAGAUCGCCACAAGAGUUUGCUAAGCAAGCAAACUUUUCUUUUUGUGGAUCAAUCUUAGAAGAGGAAGAGAAAAUAAAGCUGCAAGAAAAAAAUUUUGGGGGCAAGGUAGAAGGCAUGAUGUUGGAAGGAAAGUCCUGCCUCGUGUCGCGCUCCCUGCCGAGCUCCUGCGAGCCGGAGUCCGAGUGGGUGUACCUCGCGCACGAAGUCCUCAGCGGCAAGCGCCCGGCGCCGGAAGAUGUUGAGGUCGAAGACCUGGAUGAAGCUGACGGCGGCGGAAAGCGCAGCAAGCCGCCGUCUCCGCAGCCGCACACGCCGGACAUCUCCGAGAGCCACGGCUCCAGUCGCCAUGCCUCCGGUGGUGGAGAGCAGCAUGGCACUGGGAGCAACCUCAUUGGUUCAAUCGGUCGUGACCUGACCAUCAAUUGCCUCAUCCGGCUAUCCCGGUCGGACUACGGCUCGGUGGCCUCCCUGAGCCGGGACUUCCGGUCGCUGGUGCGCACCGGGGAGAUCUACCGCCUGCGGCGGCAAAAUGAGGUGGCGGAGCAUUGGGUAUACUUCUCUUGCAAUGUUCUUGAAUGGGAUGCCUAUGACCCAUAUCGAGAGCGCUGGAUCCAAGUGCCUAAGAUGCCACCGGAUGAAUGCUUCAUGUGCUCUGACAAGGAAUCACUUGCUGUGGGCACUGAACUGCUGGUGUUUGGGAUGGCACGCAUUGUGUUCAGAUACAGCAUCCUAACCAAUUCAUGGACGCGGGCUGAUGCAAUGAAGUCACCCCGUUGCCUGUUUGGGUCAACAAGUGUUGGGGCAAAGGCCUACGUUGCUGGGGGCACUGAUUCUUCUGGCAGGAUACUAAGCUCUGCAGAGAUGUAUGACUCUGAGACACAUACUUGGACGCCCCUCCCUAGCAUGAAUAGGGCAAGAAAGAUGUGUUCUGGGGUUUUCAUGGAUGGCAAGUUCUUUGUGAUUGGUGGCGUGGCCAACAACAACAAAGUACUGACUUGUGGGGAGGAGUAUGACUUGAAGAGGCGUUCUUGGAAGGUCAUCGAGAACAUGUCUGAAGGCCUCAAUGGAGUGACUGGUGCUCCUCCGCUUAUUGCAGUUGUCAACAAUGAGCUUUAUUGUGCUGAUUACAGUGAGAAGGAUCUCAAGAAGUAUGACAAGAAGAACAAUAAGUGGAUCACUCUCGGAAAACUGCCUGAGCGGUCUGUGUCAAUGAAUGGGUGGGGCCUUGCUUUUCGAGCAUGUGGCGACCGGUUGAUCGUCAUCGGAGGCCCAAGGACCUAUAUUGGUGGUACUAUUGAGCUCAACUCAUGGAUCCCGGAUGAGCGACCACCUGUGUGGAAUUUGGUUGCCAGACGGCCAUCUGGGAACUUCGUGUAUAACUGCGCCGUGAUGGGUUGCUGAGUCCACUGAAUAAAAGAUAAAUGCAGUGGAUAUUUAUGAAGGAUGGUAUGCACAGAGGCAGCCUGUCCAAUUGCUUCUGUUCUUAUUCGUAGAGAUUUCUGCCUUCUGCCCAGUUUCAGACUUAACUGGACAUCAGCCGAGCCACAGCAGUCUCAUGUUAGAAGUUCAACGAGGCCUCGUUUAAUCUAUUAGGAUCUGGUGCCUUUUCAUAACAGGUAGCCCAACUAGAUCAAACUCUGCGUAAUUUCUAGCGCGGCAGAAAUUUGUUGGCGUGUUCUUGGAACGGAAUGGAGCAGCAACUAGCAAGGCACUCCACACUUCCACAGAGGAUCGAUGACCUUGCAUGAUGCAGGGAGUAGAAACUGCAUAUGCGUGCGUGCCUGAAUUGUUCGUGGUGUGUUGCGUGAAGCUUUGUUCCUUUGACUCUUGGAGCUCGCACUAUCAGUCUCACAGGACAAGACGCCCAGCCUGGCUGGCGUCUGGUUUCCCUGUGGCUACGUUGUUCGUGGAGCUUUACAGCACGGCUGAUUCGCCUUUUUUUCCUGCUUGCCAUUAUUUCAUGGAAUGGAAUGCGUUGCGUUCAGAAGAGGAUCGCAAUAAUUUGAUAUGCGUCGCUGUUGUUUGUACUAUUCUGGUAUCGACUUCUGUCGUGCGGCCACUGCAUACAUGCUUCACUUGGCACAGUUUUAUCCUUCCUUUCUUUCUACCUGGUCCUGGUCAGUUGUUUGUUGGUCAGGGCAUGUUCUUCACCCUUCUAAAUGAUC